rnacentral:rRNA from 1 species
AUUGAACGCUGGCGGCAGGCCUAACACAUGCAAGUCGAGCGGGGUUUUCGGACCUAGCGGCGGACGGGUGAGUAAUGCGUAGGAAGCUGCCCGAUAGAGGGGGAUACCAGUUGGAAACGACUGUUAAUACCGCAUAAUGUCUACGGGCCAAAGUGUGGGACCUUCGGGCCACAUGCUAUCGGAUGCGCCUACGUGGGAUUAGCUAGUCGGUGAGGUAAUGGCUCACCAAGGCGACGAUCUCUAGCUGGUUUGAGAGGAUGAUCAGCCACACUGGAACGGAGACACGGUCCAGACUCCUACGGGAGGCAGCAGUGGGGAAUAUUGGACAAUGGGCGCAAGCCUGAUCCAGCCAUGCCGCGUGUGUGAAGAAGGCCUUCGGGUUGUAAAGCACUUUCAGCGAGGAGGAAGGGGUGUGUGUUAAUAGUACACACCUUUGACGUUACUCGCAGAAGAAGCACCGGCUAACUCUGUGCCAGCAGCCGCCGUAAGAC